CUUUGGAACCAAAAGCUUCUACAGUUGCUCCAGUGGUUCAAAGAGUGCAUAGGAACAUGCUGUUGACUUGGAGCUCUCCGUGGUCCUGACCAGCCUUGCUGCCCCAGCAUGAGACCCAAACAUCUUCUCUGUCUUUGAAUGCUGUGCAGCUCCUGGUCUAAUAUACCUGUGCUACAUCAAUGUGAUGAUGUAUCAGUGUUUCGGGUUUUACAUAUUUGUUACUUUUUUAUUAUUGUAACAAAAUUCUGGAUCAAUACCUAAAGUAGCAGCAGAAUCAAAAGCUCGUUUUAAAACAUAGGUAGGCAAACUAAGGCCCAGGGGCUGGAUCUGGCCCAAUCGCCUUCUAAAACUGGCCUGCGGACGGUCCAGGAAUCAGCAUGUUUUUACAUGAGUAGAAUGUGUGCUUUUAUUUAAAAUGCAUCUCUGGGUUAUUUGUGGGGCAUAGGAAUUUGUUCAUUAUUUUUUUUCAAAAUAUAGUCCGGCCCCCCACAAGGUCUGAGGGACAAUGGACCGGCCCCCUGCUGAAAAAGUUUGCUGACCCCUGUUUUAAAGGGAGUGUCUUCAGUUGCUAGCAGUGCACACACAAAGAGGAGGGCAACCUAAUCUCUUGGGGCCGGGACCAACACAUGCCCUUUUGCAUGUCACCACCAGUUUUGUCCUAGAAGGCCAUGACACAGACAAGGUGAAUGCAGCAGCUAGUGAGCCAAUUCACAUAAAAGCAAGGAGCGCUUCAAGUAGAAACAUAGGGAGCUGCCAAAUACUGAGUCAGACCACUGGUCUAUGCAGUUCAGUAUUGUCUACAUUGACUACCAGUGGCUGUCCGGGGCUUCAGUCAGAAGCCCUUCCCAGCCCUGUGGGGAAAUGCUAGGGAAGACGAUGAUGAUUAAAUUUUUUGCCCGCCCUUCCCCGGCAGGUCCUAGGGCAGGUUACGAAAAAUUAAAAUGGAAAUUUUAAAAACAGUUAAACCAGAGUACAACCACAGGAAUAGGGUGGGCUUUGCAAACAAAUAUCUCAGGUGUCAAAGGCCAGGAUAAAGAGAUGCAUCUUAAGCAUCUGCCAAAUGCUGUACAGUGGUACCUUGGCUUGGCUUGGCUCCUGAAUGUCACAAACCCAGAAUUCCAGUUUGCGAACGUUUUUCAGAAGCUGAAUGUCCGAUGUGGCUUCCGUUUGAGUGCAGGAAGCUCCUACAGCCAUUUGGAAGCCAAACCUUUCCCCCCGAAUGGUUUCAGGAGUCAAACGGACUCCCGGAACUGAUUAAGUUUGAGAACCAAGGUACCACUGUAUAGUGAAGAAGCCAGAUGCACCUCUUUGGAGAGGGAAUUCCACAACUUCCACAGUAAGAAGAACAUCUUCUGAGGGCCUGCUCUGCUGAUCUUAACACCCAGGAUGGUCUGCAGGGAAGGAGGUGGUCUUGCGUAUGUUUUGGGCUUACGUUACUUAAGGCUUUAAACACUAAUGUGAACACCUUGAAUCGGGCCUGGGAAUGAACAGCAAGCCAAUGUUUUAGGAUGGGAGUUCUGUGCAUUCUGAAUGGAAACCCUGCUGCCUUUUGGACCAGUUGAGACCCUCUUCAAGGGAAGCCCCAUGUAGAGCGCACUGCAGUAAUCCAAGCUGGAAGUUAGCAGAACAUGAAGUACUGUGGACAAGUAAUAUUUGUGCAAAAGGGGCUGCAGCUGGCGAACCAGCCCAUAGGCCAUGGGAUUGAUUCUGGGACCUUCUGCAAGCAAAGAAGAUGUUCUAGCACUGAGCCACAGCCCUUCCCCAAGUAACUGCACCCUUAGCUGUUUCAGGCUUGAUAGGUCUUGCUGCGUGGAGUCACUUUCCUCCUAAGGAAGAGAACUCACUUAUCAUCAGAUCAGUAUUCAUUACUUUCCCUGGGCUACUUGGAAAGUUCCAUAGCGAAGGAAUAAAAAUGGCACAGCCUCCCUCCCAUGGCUUGCUUCCAACCUCCACAGCCUGCUGCUAAAUCACCUCCGCUGUAAAAACGAGCAAUUCAAAGCAUUGUGAGAUCUAUCAAAAUGCUUUUUUCAUUAGGCAGGAUGGAUAGAAGAGAGUGGGGAGGGGGGGUUAGCACACUUUAAAAAACAUUUGACACCACCCGGCUCCCGAGAGCUCUCGCGAGCGAUUGCCAGGUGGGCUUUAGAUAGUGUUUUUCUUCUUAAUCUUUCUACUGCUCUGGCUCUUGUAGUCACAGACUGAUAUCAAAUUGUGUUGUUCCCACUGGUGCGGCGUGUUUUCAUUUCCUCAUCCUAGCAACGUCUCUCUCCCAAGACGCCGCAUUCACUUUUGAAAUUUCAAUUUCACUGGGAAGAAUCGACGAGCUUCUUGAGGCUCUAAUCUGGGGGGGGGGGGUUGGAGGGGAAAGGAAACCGGCGGGAUGUUUUCGCUUGUGUAUAUUCUCUGAGUAAUCUGUGAAAUGGUGAACACCUGGGGCCUUUUCUAGUUGCAGCACAGUUGUAACAUGAAGCAGAAGCAGUUUGCUGUUGGUGUCAUGACGGCGCCUUGAUGGUUUAGUUAAAAUGUUAAGCCAAGGAGCCAAACAAAUUAAUGCAGGCUUCGUUUCACGAGCUGGAGAUAUCGUAAUGUCUUCUGCAUGGCAACCUAUAACAGGUGAGGAUAAACUGGGGCCUUCCUAGAUGUUGAUGGACAUCAGCUCCUAUCAUCCCUGACCAGUGGCUGUGCUCUCUGGGCCUGAUGGGGUCCAACAACAUCUGGAGGGCCACAGGUUCCUCACCCAUGCUCUGUGACCACAAUGAAGCCCCAGUCGGCAUGGCCAAUAGGGUGGAGGCAGUUGUGGCAACAUCUGGAAGGCUUCAGUUUCCCCAGCCCUGCUUCAUAAUUAACUCAGUCCAGUGAAGGUGAUGAAUAUGUAGGUCCCAUUUGAACCAGCGGGAUGUUAAAAAUCCCAGUUUGCAAUUUAAGUUUUCAGUCCUAUGUAUGCACAUACUUUGGAGUUAGCCCCACUGAAGUUAUUGGGCUUUUUCCCCCCAUGAGGAGACAUGCCUGAGAUUUGACUGCAAGAUCCAUUUGUAUCAUUUCAGGGAGACUUACAGUAAGCAAGCCUAACUUUGUCUGGGUUGCAUCCAAUGUGUUUAGGAACUGGAUGCCAGGAUAGUAUCAGAGCAGAAGGUUAUGUGAUUGAGAAGACAUAUGUUUCUAAAAUGAUGGCUAAUUGCAGGAUAUGCAAAAUGCUGCAAUCUGGCCUGUGGAAUAUGGGUACGAUGUGCUGAAUUAUUUUUUGAGAGGCUUUCCAGACAUCAUUUCUCAAGACACAAACUCUCUUCAUUUCUGCUGAGCUCAAAAUGUGAGAAAGGGGGAAAUGGGGCGGUUUUUGGCACAAAGGGUUUAAUGAGUAAUUACCAUGUCAGAUGUGAUGGUCUGUUAGUUUUUAAACUAAAAUCCUCCUCAGAGAGUUUCGACAUAUCCAAGCAAAGCAAGAUGGUUUUCUUUUGGCUCAUGAUGGAGGUCUUAUUUCAUAAAACCAACAGUCUCCCCUACUGUUCAGAAACAACCCACCUUCAAAACAGCAGCAUGUGAUAUAUAGGUAAAGGUAAAGGACCCCUGGGCGGUUAAGUCCAGUCAAAGGUGACUAUGGGGUUGCGGCACUCAUCUCGCUUUCAAGCCGAGGAAGCCAGCAUUUGUCCACAGACAGCUUUCCAGGUCAUGUGGCCAGCAUGACUAAACCGCUUCUGGCGCAACAGAACACCAUGACAAGUGCCAGAGUGCACGGAAAUGCCAUUUACCUUCCCGACGCAGCGGUACCUAUUUAUCUGCUUGCACUGGUGUACUUUCGAACUGCUAGGUUGGCAAGAGCUGGGACAGAGCAAUGGGAGCUCACUCUGUCAUGGGGAUUCGAGCCACCGACCUUCUAAUCAGCAAGCCCAAGAGACUCAGUGGUUUAGAUCACAGCACCACCCGCGUCCUGCAUUUAAUGUGAUACAUAUGCAUUCACAAUAUAUUGAGUGGCAUCUAAGUCUUACUCAGAGUAGACCUAUUGAAAUCAAUGCAUUUAAGUUAGCCAUGACUGCUGCAUAGCUCGUAUAGGAGCUCUGCCCCACCAAGAAAGCCAUUUCUGAUCACUGCACAUUAAUGUACCUGGGGAGUUCCCAGUGUGGUGUAGUGGUUAAGAGCGGUAGACUUGUAAUCUGGUGAACCGGGUUCGCUUCCCUGCUCCUCCCCAUGCAGCUGCUGGGUGAUCUUGGGCCAGUCACACUUCUUUGAAGUCUCUCAGCCCCACUCACCUCACAGAGUGUUUGUUGUGGGGGAGGAAGGGAAAGGAGAAUGUUAGCCGCUUUGAGACUCCUUCAGGUAGUGAUAAAGUGGAAUAUCAAAUCCAAACUCUUCUUCUUCUUCUAAUACAGCAGUUUGACUUCACCCCCAGAGACGCAAUCCAUUGUCUCUUGAGACAGACGGAUGCCAGCGACCCAACAGUAUCAUUAUACAAAUAUGUGGGUCCCUACUGCUCCACCCUUUCAAGAAACUAUCAAGGGGUGCCUGUGCAUUUUGGGCACAUCAUAGAUGCUUAUCCUCACAUGUCGCCAACUUUUGCAGGACAACAAAGGCUGAGGCUUUAACUCCUUCCAUGCGCAUCGUGCUCAGAGAACCUGGUGGAUUUAAUUGCUUCUGCCACAAAGAUGAAUGCCUCCCACACCACUCCCUGACAGUCAGCAGUGCCUCUUCAUUAGUUGUCAGGAGCAGGAAACCUCAAGGGCAUUGAUGUUACUUCAGUUGAACUAAUUUUGCCUGUGAUGUCUCACACGGUGAGCAGGGAGGUUCUUACUGCGUGGCCAUAGGACAUUUUGUUGUAUUACGGUCUCCAUUUCCCAUUAUCAGAAAUGGCCAUAAUUAUGCCACCAGGUCCUUCUGUCAUGAGCUAUCAUUCUUUUUGCUGUUCUUCCUCCAGAAGUUCAAGGAAAUCUGUGACUUCCAGACUGAUGGCUCUAUUUCAAAACCAUGUCACUUUCAUAUGUGUCCAUUCACAAUUCUGUUACUUCCUUCUUCUGCAUUAACUUGGGAAAUAGAUAUGCAUGAAUCAUAGAAUCGUAGAAUUAUAGAGUUUGGAACCUUCUGCAAUCCAGGAAUCUCAACUAAAGCAUCCAUUACAUGUGGCCAUUGAACCUCUGCUUGGCUGGAGAUCUGUACUGCAAAGUUUGGAGAAGUGAGAAUUUCA